GCAGCUCAGUUGCUAGAGCAUGAGAUUCUGAAUCUCGGGGUCAAGGGUUUGAGCCCCACGUUGGGCA